rnacentral:tRNA from 3 species
GGGCCUGUAGCUCAGGGGAGAUUAGAGCACGUGGCUACGAACCACGAUGUCGGGGGUUCGAAUCCCCCCUCGCCCAC